CGAGCCUUUUGGUGGGCCCCCAGAAAUGCUGCAGGCCCUGCGUGGUGCCCAUUGGAGCCCAAUGCACAGGCCUCUGAGGUGGACGCUGAAUCUCCUGGGUUCAUCUCGAAUCGUCUUUUCCGUAUAACGUCUACCCCUUGAUCUUUUUAGUGGAUUCCUGGAAAGUUUCGUCAUCUUUAUCUUUCUAGCUUGUGUUACUAUUUAUUUCUCCUUCUCCUUUUUACUUUUAACUAUCCUGUUUCUAAUUUGCAACAACCCUUUCUUGUUCUCUACUUUUUUCUCUUACAUCAUCCUGUUCUUGUUUCAUUAUAAAUUUUCUUUAGAGUACAUCAAGAAAGAAUCUACAGAGCAAUGAAAUGCAGCGACGGGUGCCAAAACAGCGAGCCUUUCAAUCAUACUCCUGAGUGAAGGAUGCCGAGCCAAAUAGAAAGCAUGAUUUGUUUAUACAAAGUUGGGAAAUGGGCAAAAUUAAACAAGAUUGAUAUUUAUGGUUAGGUGUUAAGAAAAUGCAAAGAGGCGACCAUCAUAAGCAUUGGGCAGGGUGUGGAGGUGGGGUCGGGGCAGGGGUGGGCAGGUUUGGGAAGGGCAGAUGGCAGCUUCAAGGGGCUGGCAGCGUUCUAGUUCUUGAGUGGGGAGGGUCACCCAGGUGUUCAUUUGAUGACAAGUUUUAAUGUGAACACUGACAUCUGGCAUAAUUUUCUGUGUCGUAUGUUACUAUUUAAGAAGGAAAAAGGCCAUGAAAUGUACGAGGCAAAGAGGGAAAGUCCCAUCUGCAGGGAACGAGCAAUUGGCCAGGUGGCGGGGGUCAGGCUCUCUCGCCCCACUCCUCGCACGUCCUACAGCUGAGCGCGUUUGUGGCAUUGCGCGCGCCCAUCGUGGUGUGCUUUCUUGACUGUCCUAUGUAAGCACCACCUGAAAAGCCCUAGCGUCGUCUUCCUUGCUGCUGUGUCAGCCCCUAGAGAGUAAAGCACAUCUGCCUUGCUGUUGCGAAUAAAGAAUGUCUGUAGUUCCUACGGCUCCUCACAUCUUCUUCCAGCUUCUUCCUAGCUUGCGCCUUGCCUCCCCUGGUUCAGUGAACAGCGAGGCACCAUCCUUCUCCCCUUUGCGGAGGUUAAUGACGUGGGUCUCAUUUCCUUUCCUUCCAGACACUUUUCUGUGCUCUCACAUCCCUACUCCUACAUGGGUUAGGAGUUUUCCUGUGCUUUCUUUAAAAGAUGCAGGUGUCAUUCUGUACCUUUUUUUCACUUGAUGGGUCUUGCUCCCAUUGGAAGCUCAGUGGGCCAUCUGCUCUAUAGCAUUACUAUGUCGUCGCGGGUUUCCGUGGUGGUACAGUGAUCGAGAACCUGCCGCCAAAUGCAGAGGACACAGGUUUCAUCCCUGGUUUGGGAAGAUCCCACAUGCCCCAGAGCAAAUAAGCCUGUGGGCCACAACCACUGAGCCUGAGCUCUAGGGCCCAGUGCUGCAACUCCUGAGUCCAUGAGCCUAGAGCCUGCGCUGCACAACAGAAGCCACGGCAACGAGAAUCCCC
rnacentral:lncRNA from 1 species